GAUCAACGCUGGCGGCGUGCAUGAGACAUGCGAGUCGAACGGACACUCAGGGCUUGCUCUGUGUGUUAGUGGCGGACGGCUGAGUAACGCGUAGGUGACCUGCCCCGAAGUGGGGAAUAACUGCCCGAAAGGGUGGCUAAUACCGCAUGUGGUGAUGCGUUCAUUCGCAUCAGUAAAGCCGCAAGGCGCUUCGGGAGGGGCCUGCGUCCGAUUAGCUCGUUGGUGGGGUAACGGCUCACCAAGGCGACGAUCGGUAGGUGGUCUGAGAGGACGAUCACCCAGACUGGGACUGAGACACGGCCCAGACUCCUACGGGAGGCAGCAGUCGGGAAUUUUGCGCAAUGGACGAAAAGUCUGACGCAGCAAACGCCGCGUGAGGGAUGACGGCCUGUGU
rnacentral:rRNA from 1 species